rnacentral:rRNA from 1 species
GAGUUUGAUCCUGGCUCAGAACGAACGCUGGCGGCGUGCCUAACACAUGCAAGUCCAACGUGAAAGGGGAGCAAUCCCCCGGUAGGGUGGCAAACGGGUGAGUAAUACAUGGGUGAUCUACCUUAGGGAUGGGGAUAUCCUUCCGAAAGGAGGGGCAAUACCGAAUAUUGUCCGGAGCCGUGAAGGGUUCCGGGGAAAGGGAGGCCUCUGAUACAAGCUUUCGCCUUAAGAUGAGCCCAUGGCCCAUCAGCUAGUUGGUAGGGUAAAGGCCUACCAAGGCUACGACGGGUCGCUGGUCUGAGAGGACGACCAGCCACACUGGCACUGAGAUACGGGCCAGACUCCUACGGGAGGCAGCAGUGAGGAAUAUUGCGCAAUGGGGGAAACCCUGACGCAGCAACGCCGCGUGUGGGAAGAAGGCCUUCGGGUCGUAAACCACUUUUGCACGGGACGAAAAAGGGAUAUCGAACAAAUAUCCCCGAUGACGGUACCGUGAGAAUAAGCCACGGCUAACUCUGUGCCAGCAGCCGCGGUAAGACAGAGGUGGCAAGCGUUGUUCGGAAUUACUGGGCGUAAAGAGUCUGUAGGUGGUUUGUCAAGUCUUUGGUGAAAGGCCGUAGCUUAACUAUGGGAAUGCCAAAGAGACUGGCAGGCUGGAGGCUGGGAGAGGGAAGCGGAAUUUCUGGUGUAGCGGUGAAAUGCGUAGAUAUCAGAAGGAAGGCCGGUGGC